rnacentral:rRNA from 1 species
AUGGCUUGCUACCCUUGCAACCCCCACCCCCACCUCCCACCCGGCACCACCAUUGUUGGUCCUGCUCCUCUGCAUGAACAAAGAGGCUAUGUUGUUGUUGGAGGAGAACUCCCCAUGGUUUGCGAUGAGUGGGCCAUCGCCACGCUGGUCCCUGGCAUCGCCUCGGAGGAAUUUCAUGGUGCAAACGCCAUGAUCACAAACUUCUUGGAGAACAGAGGAUGGAGAAUCAACUACUCAUCGUGUUGUGGUAUGGGAUCUGCUCUUAUCCAAUUUACUACUGCAUGUUCCCGCGACUCUGCCAUUGCAAAUAUCUCAUAUCAGAUUGGGGACUCUGUUAUGAGGAUUACUAGGCAAGAUCAUGGACUGAACUAUCGCAACAUUGCUUUCACGCAUGAUGUCUGGUUAUUGCUAAUGAACUAUCCUCUUGAAUGCUGGGAUGUGAAUGUGAUUAGCCGUACUAUCGCACCCUAUGGAAGAUUUCUCAUUUGGAACAAAGAUCCUAGAGAUAAAACCAGAAUCAUUGUGAAAGUUAGAGUUAUUAAUCCAGAUACCUUACCUCUGAGUAUUGUGGUGCUUCGUAAUCUUGAUGAUAUUGGCUAUGGAGACUCAUGGACAUGCCCAACAUACAUCCUAUCCAGAGAAAUUAUUGGGCAGUAGGGAGGGGAUGAGGAUCCUCUGCCUGUAGAUGGAGGAAACCCUCACCCUCUGCCACAUGUCCAUGGUGGUUUUUGGCAUGAUGAGGUUAUUGGCAAUAUUCCUAUGGAACAAGUGGUUAUUAACCCUCACAAUGAGAACCUGGGUGCCCCCUAUGAGGAUGUUCAUGCUGCAGAGGGUCACCAUUUCAAUGUGGCAGAAAUCCAGGAGCAAUUUCAAGUUGUUAUUAACAACAACUUACCUGAUGUUGCACCAGCUGCUGUUAAUGAAGCUCCCCAUGUUGUUGCUGAGGUUGCACCUGCUGCUGUGAAUGAUGAUCUGAAUCUCAAUGUAAGCCCAGAAACUAAAGUUCAAGUUGCUGCUGUACCUGAUGAAGAGGUUCAUAUUUCUGUUCCAGCAGAAGAGGAUUUCAUCCCUAUCCCAAUGGAAGACAGCCCAGUAUUUUCUCCUUAG